rnacentral:rRNA from 1 species
GCCAUGCAUGUCUAAGUAUAAACGAUUUAAUCGUGAAACCGCGAAUGGCUCAUUAUAACAGCUAUAAUUUACUUGAUCUUGACACAAUCCUACUUGGAUAACUGUGGUAAUUCUAGAGCUAAUACAUGCAUUAAAGCUCUGACCUCACGGGAAGAGUGCAUUUAUUAGAACAAAACCAAGCGGCUUCGGCUGUUUCUGGUUGACUCAUAGUAACUGAGCUGAUCGCAUGGUCUUGCACCGGCGACGUGUCUUUCAAGUAUCUGCCGUAUCAACUUUCGAUGGUAGUGUAUCUGACUACCAUGGUGAUCACGCGUAACGGAGAAUAAGGGUUCGGCUCCGGAGAGUUCGCCUGAGAAAUCGCGAACACAUCUAAGGAAGGCAGCAGGCGCGAAAAUUACCCACUCUCAGCACGAGGAGGUAGUGACGAAAAAUAACGAGACCGUUCUCUUAUGAGGCCGGUCAUCGGAAUGGGUACA